rnacentral:tRNA from 1 species
ACUUAAAUAGUUUAAAAAAAAUACUAAUUUGUGGAAUUAGAGAUAUAAAAUUUUAUUUUAGGUA